GACGAACGCUGGCGGCGUGCUUAACACAUGCAAGUCGAACGAUGAACCCGGAGCUUGCUCCGGCGGAUUAGCGGCGAACGGGUGAGGAACACGUGAAGAAUCUGCCCUCCACUUUGGGAUAACACAGGGAAACCUGUGCUAAUACCGAAUAUUGAAACAUAAGUAGCAUUACUGAGUUUUGAAAGAAUUUCGGUGGAGGAUGACUUCGCGGCCUAUCAGCUAGUUGGUGAGGUAAUGGCUCACCAAGGCAACGACGGGUAGCCGGCCUGAGAGGGCGACCGGCCACACUGGGACUGAGACACGGCCCAGACUCCUACGUGAGGCAGCAGUGGGGAAUAUUGGGCAAUGGAGGAAACUCUGACCCAGCGACGCCGCGUGCGGGAUGAAGGCCUUCGGGUUGUAAACCGCUUUCAGUAGGGAAGAAGCGAAAGUGACGGUACCUACAAAAGAAGCACCGGCUAACUAUGUGCCAGCCGCCGCCGUAA
rnacentral:rRNA from 1 species